GGGGCUGUAGCUCAGAUGGGAGAGCGCCGCAAUCGCACUGCGGAGGUCAGGGGUUCGAAUCCCCUCAGCUCCA
rfam:Methylobacterium radiotolerans JCM 2831, complete genome.